GACGAACGCUGGCGGCGUGCCUAAUACAUGCAAGUAGAACGCUGAAGGAGGAGCUUGCUCUUCUGGAUGAGUUGCGAACGGGUGAGUAACGCGUAGGUAACCUGCCUGGUAGCGGGGGAUAACUAUUGGAAACGAUAGCUAAUACCGCAUAACAGAAGAUGUUGCAUGACAUUUGCUUAAAAGUUGCAAUUGACCCACUACCAGAUGGACCUGCGUUGUUUUAGCUAGUUGGUGGGGUAACGGCUCACCAAGGCGACGAUACAUAGCCGCCCUGAGAGGGGGAUCGGCCACACUGGGACUGAGACACGGCCCAGACUCCUACGGGAGGCAGCAGUAGGGAAUCUUCGGCAAUGGACGGAAGUCUGACCGAGCAACGCCGCGUGAGUGAAGGAGGUUUUCGGAGCGUAAAGCUCUGUUGUAAGAGAAGAACGAGUGUGAGAGUGGAAAGUUCACACUGUGACGGUAUCUUACCAGAAAGGGACGGCUAACUACGUG
rnacentral:rRNA from 1 species